rnacentral:rRNA from 1 species
UACGUAGGGUGCGAGCGCUAAUCGGAAUUACUGGGCGUAAAGCGUGCGCAGGCGGUUUUGUAAGCCAGAUGUGAAAUCCCCGGGCUUAACCUGGGAAUGGCAUUUGGGACUGCAAGGCUUGAGUGCGGCAGAGGAGACUGGAAUUCCUGGUGUAGCAGUGAAAUGCGUAGAUAUCAGGAGGAACACCGAUGGCGAAGGCAGGUCUCUGGGCUGACACUGACGCUCAUGCACGAAAGCGUGGGGAGCAAACAGG